GGACCGGGUGACUUUUAGAAGAAUCAUAGUGAAAAAUAAUGCAAAGAAGAGGAAGAUGUUUGAAUCAUUUAUUGAGUCUGUGCCCCUCCUUAAAUCACUAGAGGUGUCAGAACGAAUGAAGAUUGUGGAUGUAAUAGGAGAGAAGAUCUAUAAGGAUGGAGAACGCAUAAUCACUCAGGGUGAAAAGGCUGAUAGCUUUUACAUCAUAGAGUCUGGCGAAGUGAGCAUCUUGAUUAGAAGCAGGUUAUGGAUGUACAAGCAUUCGAGAGGCUUCUGGGGCCCUGCAUGGACAUCAUGAAGAGGAACAUCUCACACUAUGAGGAACAGCUGGUGAAGAUGUUUGGCUCCAGCGUGGAUCUGGGCAACCUCGGGCAGUAGGUGUGCCACACCCCAGAGCCUUCUUAGUGUGACACCAAAACCUUCUGGUCAGCCACAGAACACAUACAGAAAACAGACAUGACAGAACUGUUCCUGCCGUUGCCGCCACUGCUGCCAUUGCUGUGGUUAUGGGCAUUUAGAAAACUUGAAAGUCAGCACUAAAGGAUGGGCAGAGGUUCAACCCACACCUCCACUUUGCUUCUGAAGGCCCAUUCAUUAGACCACUUGUAAAGAUUACUCCAACCC
rnacentral:lncRNA from 1 species